AUUUGUUUAGUAUAACAGUACAUUUGACUUCCAAUCAAAAAGGUUGAGUAAUCAAAAUAAAUA
rnacentral:tRNA from 1 species